UUACGGCCACACCACACUGAAACACCGGUUCCUGUAUGAUUCUUGAAGUUAAGCAACGUCGAGCCUGGUCAAUACGUAGAUGUCUGACCGCUUGGGAAUACCAAGAGCCAU